UGCGCGGUGUGUAUAAAUUUAUUUAGUUGGUACGUGAAAUUCCUCGAGUUCGGACGGCAGGAAGAGCGGCCGUACAUUUAACGUAAUUAUAAUCCGCGGCGUGGCCGGCAGUUUGUGGUCGAGAAGAUCGAACGUUUCCACACGUAUUAUCGAUAUACCCGCGACUUGUAACGCGGCAUCCGCCCCAGGAUAAUAUCAAUUCUUGAUACUUGAAACGGAAACGGGUUAACGGGUGCCGAUCGAGUUACCACGAGGCGGAUUAAAUCGGAUUCCAACGCCCGAAUCGUGAUUCGGAAUCGUCUCGAUUCCGUUUGUUCCGGGCUUGUUUACGUUAUACUCGUUGGAACACGUUGAUGGAAUUACGCAUUGACCGAUUGGGAGGAGGAAGAGGAGGUGGAGGAGGAGGAGGAUGGAACGCAUCGUGCGAGAGUCUGCCUCAUUUCGCUUGGAUUCUCUUGGAUUUUGGAGGAUUUUGGAAUAAUUUUUGCAACGAGAUCGUUUCCAAUAUAUAGAGGUUUGGAAAACAUCGGCCGACCCGUAAUAAUCGGAUAUAAUCAGGGAUGGAGACGAAAGGGGAUUGGCGGAAACUUUUCAUCCCUGGAGGAACGAGACGGUAACGAUUGAAGAUUGAAAGGGAACUUGGGCGGAACUUUAAAGCUGUCUCGCGAGACUUGCUUGGAAUUAUUCGGGAGUUUCGAUAUCCUUUUCGAGGAUAUUGGCAAUAAAUUUGGCGAACGGCAAUUAGAAAAAAUUUUGCAAGGAACGCGAGAGGCAAGGAGGGGCCGUGAGUCACGAAUAUACGCGAAAUCAAUUGCGUGUGCAUCCGGCGUUCGAGGACGACUGUCGAGAGGCCUUUAAAACCAUCCAUGCCUUUCCUCACUCUCUCUCUCUUCCGUGUGUGCUCGUUAUUCUCGAUCACGCAUAACUCGGCCCGCGUUGACCCGAGUGUCGCUUCGACGGUAUGUUUUUCAAAAUUGAGGGAUAAUGGAGAUAAUGGAGAAGAGAGGAUCCAAAGCAUCGACAACUCGUUCAACGACUGGAGGAGAUCGGUGGAAUUUAUUUUCAUAUUAUCUGCUCGGUGAUGGUUGAACGAGAUGGUCCCUGGAACGUCCACGCUUUAUCAUAUCAAACGUGCCAGUAUUUAUGCGCGCAUCAAAGGGAUCUAAUCAGAGGCGAAGAAAGAAGGAGAUCAAAGACCACCCAUCGACUCGUGCUUCGGCGUUGGCGAAUCCAUUUUUAUCAGCGUGCGGUGAUUUAAAGGAAAUGAAAAAUGGGAAAAAAGGAGAAGAGAAAACCUGCCAUCCUUUAAUGGGAAACGUGUCAUUUCAUACAGGGAUGCGAUAAAGGGGAAACAAUGUGGAUUUGCGCAACUUUCUCAAUAACACGUAUUCCCGAGUUAUUUCAGUCCGAGUUCGACGAGUUGCUAUUUUUAAACAUAUUAAUCGGAGAUUAAACGCGAGUUUCAACGCAAAUCGAAAUUAUAUAUUUCAAAAGAUAUUUCAAAUUCAUAAUUUAGAAAGACUGUCCAAACAAAAAUUUUAAAAAAAUCUUUUCAUUUUCCCAACCCUCUCGCGAAUGAAUUGCAACAAUUUGCAAGUUAA